ACUAACAGGAUUCCCCUAGUAACUGCGAGUGAAGCGGGAAAAGCUCAAAUUUAAAAUCUGGCGGUCUUUGGCCGUCCGAGUUGUAAUCUAGAGAAGUAAUGCCCGUGCUGGACCGUGUAUAAGUCUCCUGGGAUGGGGCGUCAUAGAGGGUGAGAAUCCCGUCUUUGACACGGACUACCAGUGCAUUGUGGUAUGCUCUCAAAGAGUCGAGUUGUUUGGGAAUGCAGCUCAAAAUGGGUGGUAAAUUCCAUCUAAAGCUAAAUAUUGGCGAGAGACCGAUAGCGAACAAGUACCGUGAGGGAAAGAUGAAAAGAACUUUGGAAAGAGAGUUAAACAGUACGUGAAAUUGCUGAAAGGGAAACGCUUGAAGUCAGUCGCGUUGGCCAGGGAUCAGCCUUGCUUUUGCAUGGUGUACUUUCUGGUUGAUGGGUCAGCAUCAAUUUUGACCGCUGGAAAAGGGCCUGGGGAAUGUGGCAGCUUCGGCUGUGUUAUAGCCCCUGGUCGCAUACGGUGGUUGGGAUUGAGGAACUCAGCACGCCGCAAGGCCGGGUUUCGACCACGUUCGUGCUUAGGAUGCUGGCAUAAUGGCUUUAAGCGACCCGUCUUGAAACACGGACCAAGGAGUCUAACAUGCCUGCGAGUAUUUGGGUGAAAAACCCGAGUGCGUAAUGAAAGUGAAAGUUGAGAUCCCUGUCGUGGGGAGCAUCGACGCCCGGACCAGAACUUUUGGGACGGAUCCGCGGUGGAGCAUGUAUGUUGGGACCCGAAAGAUGGUGAACUAUGCCUGAAUAGGGUGAAGCCAGAGGAAACUCUGGUGGAGGCUCGUAGCGAUUCUGACGUGCAAAUCGAUCGUCAAAUUUGGGUAUAGGGGCGAAAGACUAAUCG
rnacentral:rRNA from 1 species